AUUGAACGCUGGCGGCAGGCUUAACACAUGCAAGUCGAGCGAGCGGCGGACGGGUGAGUAAUGUCUGGGAAACUGCCCGCUGGAGGGGGAUAACUACUGGAAACGGUAGCUAAUACCGCAUACCAUCAGAUGUGCCCAGAUGGGAUUAGCUAGUAGGUGGGGUAAUGGCUCACCUAGGAGACGAUCCCUAGCUGGUCUGAGAGGAUGACCAGCCACACUGGAACUGGGACACGGUCCGGAGUCCUACGGGAGGGAGCAGUGGUGAAUAUUGCGCAAUGGGCGCAAGCCUGAUGCAGCAGUGCCGCGUGUGUGAAGAAGGCCUUCGGGUUGUAGAGCACUUUCAGCGAGGAGGCGUUACUCGCAGAAGAAGCACCGGCUAACUCCGUGCCAGCAGCCGCGGUAAUUC
rnacentral:rRNA from 1 species